GAAGAGCCCUACCGGAAAGGAAGUAGCGAAUCCAUCCUGACCUUGAGUCUUGCAGGGACAUCGCGAGGUGUUUCUUGAAGCGUAGACAGAGGCAUCGGUGGGCGGGGCGAUUGAGCUGCGAAAAGCCCGUAGAUCAGGAUGCCGAACUCCAUUCCGAGUAGGAGGAAGGCGACACGGCAGCCGCGAUAUACGCGAGUGGCUAUCCGGUCCUGCGUAGUCUGAGAACC
rnacentral:ncRNA from 1 species